CAGAGUUGAAAACUCCCAAACCCUUUGUGAAUCUACCUAUUGUUGCUUCGGUAGGCGGCCCCAGGGCGGGGCCAUGGUCUCUUAGAGGCGCCUGCCGGAUGUGUAAGACUCUAUAUGUACCGUAUCUUCUGAGCUAAAACAAAAUAAGUCA
rnacentral:misc_RNA from 1 species